UCCCAAGAUGAUGUUGGUUAUGGUGUCUUCCACAACUACAAAGAACAAAUGUGGAAGGUGAAAACAUGAUGGAAGGUGAGAACAGGUUACCUCAAGUUGUCUGCUGAUCUUCACAUGUGUAUCAUGGCAUUCCCCACCCCCAUGUAAUGCAAACAAUACAUAAACAAAGAGCGACAUUUCUGCACCUCCACUGUAUCGCCAUCUGAUGCCUCUCACUUUGUCUUGAGUUUAUGUUAAUAAUACAUUAUUUGGAGAGAAAAAUUGGUUUCUACAUAAUUCAGAGAGGAUUUAAAUUUUUCAUUGACACAUUCAUUAUCUCUAUAAAUAUACAUGAAUAGUCAAUGCUAAAAAGAUUCAUCAUAGUGAUGGGAGCAUGUACUCUGUAAGGAUAAUGGUGUGUUUUUCUAUGAUGAGCCAUUGUUUUCUAUUUUUCUAUUGCAAUAUGAUCUUUUUGUAUGUUAUCAGAAACUAGGCAGCGUUACUACAGACAGGACUUUUGUAGUCCCUCUUUAUUGAUGAAUGAUGUGGUCCAAAGUCCCUGAAACUGUGGAUACUACAGAACCCGAUGCUAACUAUGUUGUGUUUUCUUACUCAUACAUACCCACGGCAAAGUUUCAGUUAUAAACUAGGCAGAGAUUAACUAAUGGCAAAAUAAGAACAUUUUACAGUGUACUGUAACAGACAUUUGUUUCUGUUUAUCAUUUUCAGACACUGACGACCUUUGGUAACUGGUCCUGACCCAAACAAAAUCUUGGGUAGAGGAAGAUUCCUAUGCUCAGCAAUAGACGGACAUCUGAUGCAAUAAAAUAGCCCGUAUUCCCAUACUGCAUCUGGAGCAUGAACGGCCAAGGGAUCCAAUGAAGAAAGCAUUUCCAGUUCACGUGGAAUAAUCAAGUGGCACAAGAAGUAAGACACAGAAAACCUUCCAUUGAUUCAAAGCUCUGGACAUCCGUGAAGGAGUUUCUACAUCAGGUCAACCGAGACAGAAGACCCAUCUUAAACGUGGGCAACACCAUUGCACAGACCGGGCCCCCAGCUGCAUAUAGAGAAGAGAGAAAGCCAAGGAGAAUUCACUUGGCUCUGCUUAAUGACCAGCUGCUCCAUCUCCCGCCACUGUGCCUUCUCCGUCAUGGCGCCCUCCAACCCAGAACCCAGCCAGACUCUUCCUUCCUCCAAUCCCGUUUGUCAGGAGUUCUGCUGUGGCAACGAGACGACCGACUGAGGAGAGGCAGCAUUUCAAGUGACAUGGAACACUGGCUGGCAGCAGGAACAGAUGCUUUUCUGGAGAAUGUUCUGCAAUCUCCUUCACCCACCUAUCCCUUAGUUCCUCGCCACGCUGUUUUCACAGGGUCUCAGCAGUUCUGCCACACAAAGACAGGCUCUUCUGUGGCCCAGGAGGAAGUGAAUGUCCUGUUGUCUCCCUGUACAGACGGCUUUGAGUGGAAGUGACAUCUGAGGCAGGUGUCUUUCCCUUUGGGGAAAUGAAAGUCUGUGUGAAGUGGCCGUGAAGACAAGACUUUUUAAGGACAAUUUUGUUUUCUCCACUGUAGACCUUUUUUAACAGGAAAAAUACUGGGUCUUGUGACAUUCAUUGUUGAGAGUAGAUGGGUGGAGUUGGGAGCACUUGGGAAGCUGAGUUGAGGCCCAUAAAUUUGCUCAUCAUCUACAGACAAUUCCUAUUAGGAGAGGUCAGCAUUUUAUCUCUGUCAGCAUUCUAUCAUUUAAUGCUAGGAUUGUUCAAUACAAUACCUGUUCUGGUUUGAUAAACUGAGAUUAAAAUAUGAAAGAAGCCAAAUCUCUGCUUAAUCUGACAUGGUAACUAAGGCCAAAACUGUGGUUCAGUGGCAGCCCUCUCCCGGAACGUGGUACCUAGAGACAAGCAGGCCCCAAACCCUGAUAAGGUUGUCAUGAAGGGCUACAUUCCAAUCUUUCUCAGCCUCUGCCAAGAUGGGUGGAUUCCAGUUCUAACAGGCUUCAUGAAUUUCUAUAUACACUUUUCCAUUGAGAUGUCCUGAAAGAUGAGAUACUGGCUGCACUGGCUGGUUCUGUGUGUCAACUUGACACAAGCUAGAGUCAUCAGAAGGAGGAGUCUCAG